rnacentral:rRNA from 1 species
UACGAAGGGGGCUAGCGUUGCUCGGAUUGACUGGGCGUAAAGGGCGCGUAGGCGGUUCGUACAGUCAGACGUGAAAUUCCUGGGCUCAACCUGGGGGCUGCGUUUGAUACGUGCGGACUUGAGUGCGGAAGAGGGUCGUGGAAUUCCCAGUGUAGAGGUGAAAUUCGUAGAUAUUGGGAAGAACACCGGUGGCGAAGGCGGCUCACUGGCUCAUUUCUGACGCUCAGGCGCGACAGCGUGGGGAUCAAACAAGG